rnacentral:rRNA from 1 species
CCCUUAGAUGUUCUGGGCCGCACGCGCGCUACACUGAUUCAUGCAACAAGUUUUGUCCUUGGCUGAUAGGCCUGGGUAAUCUUUGAACGUGAAUCGUGAUGGGGAUAGAUGAUUGCAAUUAUUCAUCUUCAACGAGGAAUUCCUAGUAAACGCAAGUCAUCAGCUUGCAUUGAUUACGUCCCUGCCCUUUGUACACACCGCCCGUCGCACCUACCGAUUGAAUGGUCCGGUGAAAUCUUCGGAUCUGAGAGAUGUCUGAUUAAUUUCGGACGCCUUUUGGAAAAGUUGCUUAAACCUUNCNAUUUAGNGGAAGGUGAANUCGUANCA